CGUAGGGUGCAAGCGUUAAUCGGAAUUACUGGGCGUAAAGCGUGCGCAGGCGGUUGUGUAAGUCUGUCGUGAAAUCCCCGGGCUCAACCUGGGAAUUGCGAUGGAGACUGCACGGCUAGAGUGUGUCGAGAGGGGGGUAGAAUUCCACGUGUAGCAGUGAAAUGCGUAGAUAUGUGGAGGAACACCGAUGGCGAAGGCAGCCCCCUGGGAUAACACUGACGCUCAUGCACGAAAGCGUGGGGAGCAAACAGGAUUAGAUACCCUGGUAGUCCACGCCCUAAACGAUGUCAACUAGUUGUCGGGUCUUAAUUGACUUGGUAACGCAGCUAACGCGUGAAGUUGACCGCCUGGGUAGUACGGUCGCAAAGAUUA
rnacentral:rRNA from 1 species